rnacentral:rRNA from 1 species
GUGGGUGAUCUGCCCUGCACUUUGGGAUAAGCCUGGGAAACUGGGUCUAAUACCGAAUAUGACCAUGCGCCUCCUGGUGUGUGGUGGAAAGCUUUUGCGGUGUGGGAUGGGCCCGCGGCCUAUCAGCUUGUUGGUGGGGUAAUGGCCUACCAAGGCGACGACGGGUAGCCGGCCUGAGAGGGUGACCGGCCACACUGGGACUGAGAUACGGCCCAGACUCCUACGGGAGGCAGCAGUGGGGAAUAUUGCACAAUGGGCGCAAGCCUGAUGCAGCGACGCCGCGUGAGGGAUGACGGCCUUCGGGUUGUAAACCUCUUUCAGCACAGACGAAGCGCAAGUGACGGUAUGUGCAGAAGAAGGACCGGCCAACUACGUGCCAGCAGCCGCGGUAAUACGUAGGGUCCGAGCGUUGUCCGGAAUUACUGGGCGUAAAGAGCUCGUAGGUGGUUUGUCGCGUUGUUCGUGAAAACUCACAGCUUAACUGUGGGCGUGCGGGCGAUACGGGCAGACUUGAGUACUGCAGGGGAGACUGGAAUUCCUGGUGUAGCGGUGGAAUGCGCAGAUAUCAGGAGGAACACCGGUGGCGAAGGCGGGUCUCUGGGCAGUAACUGACGCUGAGGAGCGAAAGCGUGGGGAGCGAACAGGAUUAGAUACCCUGGUAGUCCACGCCGUAAACGGUGGGUACUAGGUGUGGGUUUCCUUCCUUGGGAUCCGUGCCGUAGCUAACGCAUUAAGUACCCCGCCUGGGGAGUACGACCGCAAGGCUAAAACUCAAAGAAAUUGACGGGGGCCCGCACAAGCGGCGGAGCAUGUGGAUUAAUUCGAUGCAACGCGAAGAACCUUACCUGGGUUUGACAUGCACAGGACGACU